rnacentral:lncRNA from 1 species
AGAGUGAACGAUGAAUAUAUGUGUUUGUAAGGAACAUAGGUUGUGUUUGUGACAGUUGAGAUAGUAGUUUACACCUACUUGAGGACGCUAAACUAGUUGACCAAAAAAAAAAAAAGAGGAACCUAAACUCAUCAAAUGCACAGAGUAAACACAUUGUAGCAGUGGUUGCUCGGAACCAAAGACCUCACCAUGGAAUCAUUUUCUCAGAAGUGAUGUUGAGAAGUACUAAUAAGCAAAUUGAUUAUAAUACCUGAGCUACAUCCGCUAACACUAUCUAUAAGCAGAGAAAUUACGACCACACCUAUGG